rnacentral:ncRNA from 1 species
UUAUCAGUAUCUUGGGGGGUGUUAAUUUAAAUUUGUUGGUUAUAUAAUAUAUUUUAUUUUAGUAUUAACAAUUUCUUGUUUCUUUUAUUUACAUGUAAAUUAUUAGUGUUUAUUUUUAAAAAGAAUUAUACAGUAAAUAUUAUUAAUUAUGAAGGAAAUUUCGAUUUAGAAAUUGAAUUUAAGAUAGACAAAUUUUGUGCCAGCAGUUGCGGUUAUACAAUUUAUCUGAAGGAAUUAUGGAAGUAGUAUAAACUAUAGUGAAAUUUAGAAUGUAUUUAGUUAAUUUUAAGGUAAAAUUUUUAAUUUUAUUUAUCAUUUAAAUUUAAUUGUUUAGAAAUUUGACAAUAGGACCAGGAUUAGAUACCCUGUUACGCUUAUGUAAUUAUUCUGGAGUAGUAAAAGUUAAGAUCUAUAAACUCAAAAAAUUUGGCGGUAUUUUAUCUUAUUAGAGGAACCUGUAUAUUAAUUGAUAUUCCACAAUUAAAAUUUACUUUUAUUAAAAUACUUGUAUACCGCUGUCAUGAAUAUAUUAAAAAAUUAAUUUUCUCUCUUCCGCCCGCUUUUUCGCUGAUUUAUGUUAGGUCAAGGUGCAGUAUUUAAAAGAUACUUAUGGGUUACAGUAUAAAUUAUGAAUGGAGUUUCUUAAUUUUUAGUUUAUGAAAGAGGAUUUAAAAGUAAAAAUAUAAAUAAAAAUUAUAUGAAUAGAGAUUCUGAAAUAUGUACACAUUGCCCGUCACUCUUGCUUAAAGCAAGAUAAGUCGUAACAUAGUAGAUGUACCGGAAGGUGUAUCUGGAACUAUAA